CUCGUGAUUGAUUUCAUGUAUAAUAUAAUAAUGCAGCUACAUAAUCGCUAUACAAUACAUAACGUUUAUAUCCCAAGAGUAAGAUUUAUGUGUUUUUAAAAUGAAUACACGACGGAGUUAAUGUGAAGCACUGAUGUUAUAUGGAGUGUAAACAAAGUAAUUUCCCAUUAUAUAAUAUAACAGUAAUACGACGAGAAGCCAUUCGUUAAUACCCAAAAAAGUUGGUGUGAUAAACAUAAAAAAAACUUCCACUACCUUCUUCAUGCGAUUUUUCAAACUGAGAUCAAUCUAAGAUAAAGGCGAAAUUACACAGUCCAAAGAAAAAUAGCUACAAAAAUGUAUCAAAGGAAUUAACAAUUAAAUAAAUUUAGUUUUCUUCCAAGAAGGUUAACGUGUA